AAUGACGGUACCUGAGGAAUAAGCAUCGGCUAACUCCGUGCCAGCAGCCGCGGUAAUACGGAGGAUGCAAGCGUUAUCCGGAAUGAUUGGGCGUAAAGAGUCCGUAGGUGGCAUUGAAAGUCUGCUGUUAAAGAGUCUAGCUCAACUAGAUAAGAGCAGUGGAAACUACAAAGCUAGAGUUUGGUCGGGGCAGAAGGAAUUCCUGGUGUAGCGGUGAAAUGCGUAGAGAUCAGGAAGAACACCGGUGGCGAAGGCGUUCUGCUAGGCCGAGACUGACACUGAGGGACGAAAGCUAGGGGAGCGAAUGGGAUUAGAUNCC
rnacentral:rRNA from 1 species